rnacentral:rRNA from 1 species
CCUACGGGUGGCUGCAGUCGAGAAUCAUUCACAAUGGGGGAAACCCUGAUGGUGCGACGCCGCGUGGGGGAAUGAAGGUCUUCGGAUUGUAAACCCCUGUCAUGUGGGAGCAAAUUAAAAAGAUAGUACCACAAGAGGAAGAGACUGCUAACUCUGUGCCAGCAGCCGCGGUAAUACAGAGGUCUCAAGCGUUGUUCGGAAUCACUGGGCGUAAAGCGUGCGUAGGCUGUUUCGUAAGUCGUGUGUGAAAGGCGCGGGCUCAACCCGCGGACGGCACAUGAUACUGCGAGACUAGAGUAAGGGAGGGGGAACCGGAAUUCUCGGUGUAGCAGUGAAAUGCGUAGAUAUCGAGAGGAACACUCGUGGCGAAGGCGGGUUCCUGGACAUUAACUGACGCUGAGGCACGAAGGCCAGGGGAGCGAAAGGGAUUAGAUACCCGAGUAGUC